rnacentral:rRNA from 1 species
UACGUAGGGUGUAAACGUUGCUCGGAAUUAUUGGGCGUAAAGCGCACGUAGGCGGCAUAGCAAGUCGGAUGUGAAAUCCCUCGGCUCAACCAAGGAAGUGCAUCCGAAACUGCUGUGCUUGAGUACGAAAGAGGAUCGCGGAAUUCCCGGUGUAGAGGUGAAAUUCGUAGAUAUCGGGAGGAACACCAGUGGCGAAGGCGGCGACCUGGGCCGAUACUGACGCUGAGGUGCGAAAGCGUGGGGAGCAAACAGG